rnacentral:rRNA from 1 species
AUUGAACGCUGGCGGAAUGCUUUACACAUGCAAGUCGAACGGUAGAGGGGGCAACCCCUCGAGAGUGGCGAACGGGUGAGUAAUAUAUCGGAACGUGCCCAGUCGUGGGGGAUAACGUAGCGAAAGUUACGCUAAUACCGCAUACGAUCUAAGGAGGAAAGCGGGGGACCGCAAGACCUCGCUCUAUUGGAGCGGCCGAUAGCAGAUUAGGUAGUUGGUGGGGUAAAGGCGCACCAAGCCAACGAUCUGUAGCUGGUCUGAGAGGACGACCAGCCACACUGGAACUGAGACACGGUCCAGACUCCUACGGGAGGCAGCAGUGGGGAAUUUUGGGCAAUGGACGCAAGUCUGAUCCAGCCAUUCCGCGUGCAGGAUGAAGGCCCUCGGGUUGUAAACUGCUUUUGUACGGAACGAAAAGGUCUCUCUUAAUACGGGGGACUCAUGACGGUACCGUAAGAAUAAGCACCGGCUAACUACGUGCCAGCCGCCGCCGUAAUAC